AUGCUCUCACAGACUCAUCUUCUCUGGCUUCUAGUGCUCUGGAUUCAGGACUCCUGUGGGGACAUUGUGAUGACUCAGACUCCAGAAUCGCUGUCAGUGUCUCCAGGAGACAGAGUCACCAUCAACUGCAAAGCCAGUUCCAGUGUUAGCAGCUACAUGGCCUGGUACCAACAGAAACCCGGACAAGCUCCUAAGCUCCUCAUCCACAGCGCCUCCACCCGGCCUUCUGGGAUCCCAGACCGGUUCAGCGGCAGUGGGUCUGGCACUGACUUCACUUUUACAAUCAGCCGGGUUGAAGCGGAUGAUACUGGGAAUUAUUAUUGUCAGCAGGGUAACUACUACCCUCUCACAGUGAUACAGACCAAUACAAAAACCUCCCUGCUCUCUUCUGUUUUCAGUUCCUCUGUAUGUCAGCUGCCUCCUGCAAUCAUGCUUCCAGCAGACUUGCUGGGAAGCGGGAAUCUCUUGCUUCAAGAGCCUCCCACCUCGCAGGUGGAUCUCACCUCCCAACAGUCAGGUGACCGGGUGGACAAAGAGCUGUCCUGCUAUCUUCUCAAAGCAUCCAGGACACCAUGUUCCGGGCAUAAGUAA